rnacentral:rRNA from 1 species
AUUGAACGCUGGCGGCAGGCCUAACACAUGCAAGUCGAGCGGGGUUUUCGGACCUAGCGGCGGACGGGUGAGUAAUGCGUAGGAAGCUACCCGAUAGAGGGGGAUACCAGUUGGAAACGACUGUUAAUACCGCAUAAUGUCUACGGACCAAAGUGUGGGACCUUCGGGCCACACGCUAUCGGAUGCGCCUACGUGGGAUUAGCUAGUUGGUGAGGUAAUGGCUCACCAAGGCGACGAUCCCUAGCUGGUUUGAGAGGAUGAUCAGCCACACUGGAACUGAGACACGGUCCAGACUCCUACGGGAGGCAGCAGUGGGGAAUAUUGGACAAUAGGCGCAAGCCUGAUCCAGCCAUGCCGCGUGUGUGAAGAAGGCCUUCGGGUUGUAAAGCACUUUCAGCGAGGAGGAAGGGGUUGUAGUUAAUAGUUGCAACCUUUGACGUUACUCGCAGAAGAAGCACCGGCUAACUCUGUGCCAGCAGCCGCCGUAACAC